UACGGGGGGGGCAAGCGUUGUUCAGAAUUACUGGGCGUAAAGCGUGCGCAGGCGGCUUCGCAAGUCAGACGUGAAAUCCCCGGGCUUAACCUGGGAAUGGCGUUUGAAACUACGGAGCUGGAGUGUGGCAGAGGGAGGUAGAAUUCCACGUGUAGCGGUGAAAUGCGUAGAUAUGUGGAGGAACACCAAUGGCGAAGGCAGCUCGCUGGGACGGUACUGACGCUGAGGCGCGAAAGCGUGGGGAGCAAACAGG
rnacentral:rRNA from 1 species